UGCAGAGGCAAUAAAGUCAUUGUUUCAAAUUCAUGCAUUCUUUAUUAAUUCAUCACACAAAUGAGAGGAUAACUGCCAAGGAAGCCCGGGAGGAGUCGGGGAGGAGGGAAGCACAGGGUACGUGUGGUGGAGGAAGAGAGGAAGGA